AUUCCAGCCCCAAUAGCGUAUAUUAAAGUUGUUGCAGUUAAAAAGCUCGUAGUCGCAUUUCUGGCGAGAGGAAUUGGUCCGACAUUUAUUGUGGGUACUCGAUUCUCUCUCGCCAUCCUUGAGUGGUCCGUUCUGGCAUUUAGUUGUCGGAGCGUCAGCCGCUCAUCGUUUACUGUGAGAAAAUUAGAGUGUUCAAAGCAGGCUUAUGCCGUUGAAUAUAUUAGCAUGGAAUAAUAAGAUAGGACCUCGGUGCUAUUUUGUUGGUUUGCGCACAGAGGUAAUGAUGAACAGGGACAGUUGGGGGUAUUUGUAUUUCGUUGUCAGAGGUGAAAUUCUUAGAUUUACGAAAGACAAACUACUGCGAAAGCAUUUACCAAGGAUGUUUUCAUCA
rnacentral:rRNA from 1 species